CCGAACCUUCGACGGAAAAAUGGGGACCGCAGGUGGCCGGAAUCGCCGGAAAUCGGCCAAAGCUUCAAACUGCAGCCGGAGGGGAUUUUGCUUCGAUCCGUGCUUUUCCGGUCAAAUCGUCGAAAACCAAGGUUGCUAAGGUGAUCGGAGGGAGGAGGCGCUCCUCUGAUGACCGGUGGCACGCCGGUUGGUGGCCGGAAUCGCCGGAAAUCGAAGGAAGAAGGAAAACGGCCGAACCG
rnacentral:lncRNA from 1 species